GAUCAAUCUUCUUCAGGGUAUAUAUCUAUCUGGUGGUGUCUGUCUUUUCUGAAAAUGGCAGAUGGUCAUGAAUCAGAUAAGAAUAUUGAAAUAUGGAAAAUCAAAAAGUUGAUUAAGGCAUUGGAGUCAGCGAGGGGUAAUGGUACGAGCAUGAUAUCUCUUAUAAUGCCUCCUCGUGAUCAAAUAUCUCGGGUCACAAAGAUGCUGGGUGAUGAAUUUGGAACUGCUUCAAACAUUAAAAGUAGGNAAAAGGGGGCCCCCCCGCCAGUCUGUCUUGGCUGCCAUUACAUCUGCUCAACAGAGGCUGAAACUUUAUAACAAGGUUCCUCCCAAUGGGCUCGUGCUUUAUACUGGAACAGUUGUUACUGAAGAUGGGAAGGAAAAGAAGGUGACAAUUGAUUUUGAGCCUUUCAAGCCUAUAAAUGCUUCACUUUACCUUUGUGACAACAAGUUCCACACAGAAGCACUUAACGAACUCUUAGAAUCUGAUGACAAGUUUGGCUUUAUUGUCAUGGAUGGGAAUGGCACCCUGUUUGGGACUCUAAGCGGUAACACACGAGAAGUGCUUCAUAAAUUUACAGUUGAUUUACCAAAGAAGCAUGGAAGAGGAGGGCAGUCCGCUCUUCGUUUUGCUCGCCUUCGGAUGGAAAAGCGGCACAACUAUGUUAGAAAAACAGCAGAGCUUGCCACACAGUUUUUCAUUAAUCCUGCUACCAGUCAGCCAAAUGUUGCUGGGCUUAUACUGGCAGGGUGCGCACUGAGUUGAGCCAGUCAGAUAUGUUUGAUCCUCGUUUGCAAGCAAAAAUAUUGAAUGUGGUUGAUGUUUCUUAUGGGGGAGAGAAUGGUUUCAACCAAGCUAUUGAGCUGUCAGCUGAGAUUCUAUCAAAUGUAAAGUUCAUACAGGAAAAACGCUUGAUUGGGAAAUACUUCGAGGAGAUCAGCCAGGAUACUGGAAAGUAUGUCUUCGGUGUUGAUGACACAUUGAAGACUCUGGAAAUGGGUGCUGUUGAAACCCUUAUUGUGUGGGAAAAUCUAGAUAUUAAUCGAUAUGUUUUUAAAAACAGUGUUACUGGUGAAAUAAUUAUAAAGCACUUGAACAAGGAGCAAGAGGCUGAUCAGAGUAACUUCAGGGAUGCAGCUAACUCUGCAGAGUUGGAGGUUCAGGAAAAAAUGCCUUUGCUUGAGUGGUUUGCGAAUGAAUACAAGCGAUUUGGUUGCUCACUUGAAUUUGUUACUAACAAAUCGCAAGAGGGAUCACAGUUUUGCAGAGGGUUUGGUGGAAUUGGAGGUAUUCUUCGCUACCAGCUUGACAUUAGAUCUUUUGAUGAGUUGUCUGAUGAUGGUGAAGUUUAUGAGGAUUCGGACUAGGAGACCAUAAUGAUGUGAAAGCCUACAUCAGUGUGAUAGAUCUUUGUUACUGAUAUUUAAUUUUCUUAUUUUGCUGCUUUUCAUUUGGAUGUUGGGAAUGUUUCAAUGAUU
rnacentral:misc_RNA from 1 species